GGAAGGAUCAUUAUUGAAUGAACUUGGUGUGGUUGUUGCUGGCCCUCUCGGGGGCAUGUGCACACCCACCAUCCUCAUCUCUCCACCUGUGCACCUUUUGUAGACCUGGAUAGACUUUCCGAGGCAACUCGGUCGGGAAGAUUGCUGCGCUCUGUGAGCCAGCUUUCUUUGCAUGUCCAGGCCUAUGUUUUUCAUAUACCCCUGUAGAAUGUAACAGAAUGUAUCAUUGGGCCUUGUGCCUAUAAACCUUAUACAACUUUCAGCAACGGAUCUCUUGGCUCUCGCAUCGAUGAAGAACGCAGCGAAAUGCGAUAAGUAAUGUGAAUUGCAGAAUUCAGUGAAUCAUCGAAUCUUUGAACGCACCUUGCGCUCCUUGGUAUUCCGAGGAGCAUGCCUGUUUGAGUGUCAUUAAAUUCUCAACCUUAUUAGCUUUUGCUGAUAAUGGAUUGGAUGUGGGGGUUUCUUUUGCCGGCUUCUUCACAGAGGUCAGCUCCCCUAAAAUGCAUUAGCUGGUGCCCCGCGUGGACCAUCUAUUGGUGUGAUAAUUAUCUACGCCGUGGAUGUCUGCAAUCAUAUGGGUUUUGCACUGCUUCUAACCGUCUGUUCAUUCGGACAAUACAUGACAAUUUGACCUCAAAUCAGGUAGGACUACCCGCUGAACUUAAGCAUAUCAAUAAGCGGAGGAAAAGAAACUAACAAGGAUUCCCCUAGUAACUGCGAGUGAAGCGGGAAAAGCUCAAAUUUAAAAUCUGGCGGUCUCCGGCCGUCCGAGUUGUAAUCUAGAGAAGUGUUAUCCGCGCUGGACCGUGUACAAGUCUCCUGGAAUGGAGCGUCAUAGAGGGUGAGAAUCCCGUCUUUGACACGGACUGCCAGGGCUUUGUGAUGCGCUCUCAAAGAGUCGAGUUGUUUGGGAAUGCAGCUCAAAAUGGGUGGUAAAUUCCAUCUAAAGCUAAAUAUUGGCGAGAGACCGAUAGCGAACAAGUACCGUGAGG
rnacentral:rRNA from 1 species